AAGAAGAGAGGCAGAAUGCCUCUCUCUCUCUUGUUCUCUUUGAGGUUUUCUUACAAAAUUCAUGAUCCACAAAGAUCCGACCGUCCAAACUCAAAUUUGAUUUCGAGAACGUGAUCUACGAAGUCCGAUCUACGUUUCUACCGAUUAGUUUGAGGAUUUGCACAGUUUAGAGCUUCCUAAACACUUCUCUAGUGUUGGAUUUCGUUUGGGCAAGUUUUGUGACCCAGUGCCUAAUAUCCACGCAGCCAAGGUUUUACGGAUAUUGUUAUUGACUCGUCCACCUAGUGUAUGGGAUGCUAUGAUUGGAGCAUAUCGCGACAGUCAUAAGUCACGGACUCAUGGGUAGUCCGCAUUUUGGGUAUUUUAUUUAUGGCUCGUGUUCUACGUGACACAUGUAUUUGUUGAGUCUAUAUUUGGUAUGUAAUUAGUGUAAUAUAUUUUAUAAGCCUUAAAUAGAUAGACUUGUAAAUGGCUCUUGUUGUAAUUAACUGUUAUGUAUUAUAUGUAUUUCCGCUUAUGAUAUGUGUUCCGUUACACAUUGAUUA